GCGGCAACAGCUCAGAUUUGAAAUCUGGCUCCUUCGGGGCCCGAGUUGUAAUCUGUAGAGGAUGCUUUUGGCGACGCGCCUUCCGAGUCCCCUGGAACGGGGCGCCAGAGAGGGUGAGAGCCCCGUAUGGUUGGACGCCGAACCUCUGUAAAGCUCCUUCGACGAGUCGAGUAGUUUGGGAAUGCUGCUCAAAAUGGGAGGUAAAUUUCUUCUAAAGCUAAAUACCGGCCAGAGACCGAUAGCGCACAAGUAGAGUGAUCGAAAGAUGAAAAGCACUUUGAAAAGAGGGUUAAAUAGCACGUGAAAUUGCUGAAAGGGAAGCGCUUGUGACCAGACUUGCGCCCGGUUGAUCAUCCAGCGUUCUCGCUGGUGCACUCUGCCGGGCUCAGGCCAGCAUCGGCUCUCCCAGGGGGAUAAAGGUCGCGGGAACGUAGCUCUCUUCGGGGAGUGUUAUAGCCCGUGGCGGAAUACCCUUAGGGGGGGCCGAGGCCCGCGUUCGCAAGGAUGCUGGCGUAAUGGUCACCAGCGACCCGUCUUGAAACACGGACCAAGGAGUCAAGCAUUAGGGCGAGUCUUUGGGUGUAAAACCCGCAGGCGCAAUGAAAGUGAACGGAGGUGAGAGCUUCGGCGCAUCAUCGACCGAUCCUGAUGUUCUCGGAUGGAUUUGAGUAAGAGCCUUACCGCUUGGACCCGAAAGAUGGUGAACUAUGCCUGAAUAGGGUGAAGCCAGAGGAAACUCUGGUGGAGGCUCGCAGCGGUUCUGACGUGCAAAUCGAUCGUCAAA
rnacentral:rRNA from 1 species